rnacentral:rRNA from 1 species
UACGGGGGGGGCAAGCGUUGUUCGGAAUUACUGGGCGUAAAGGGCUCGUAGGCGGCCAACUAAGUCAGACGUGAAAUCCCUCGGCUUAACCGGGGAACUGCGUCUGAUACUGGAUGGCUUGAAUCCGGGAGAGGGAUGCGGAAUUCCAGGUGUAGCGGUGAAAUGCGUAGAUAUCUGGAGGAACAUCGGUGGCGAAGGCGGCAUCCUGGACCGGCAUUGACGCUGAGGAGCGAAAGCGUGGGUAGCAAACAGG